rnacentral:rRNA from 1 species
AACGAACGCUGGCGGCAGGCCUAACACAUGCAAGUCGAGCGGACCUUUCGGGGUCAGCGGCGGACGGGUGAGUAACGCGUGGGAAUAUGCCCUUCUCUACGGAAUAGUCCUGGGAAACUGGGGGUAAUACCGUAUACGCCCUUUGGGGGAAGGAUUUAUCGGGGAAGGAUUAGCCCGCGUUGGAUUCGGUAGUUGGUAGGGUAAUGGCCUACCAAGCCGACGAUCCAUAGCUGGUUUGAGAGGAUGAUCAGCCACACUGGGACUGAGACACGGCCCAGACUCCUACGGGAGGCAGCAGUGGGGAAUCUUAGACAAUGGGGGCAACCCUGAUCUAGCCAUGCCGCGUGAGUGAUGAAGGCCGUAGGGUUGUAAAGCGCUUUCAGCUGGGAAGAUAAUGACGGUACCAGCAGAAGAAGCCCCGGCUAACUCCGUG